GUACUUAUCUGGACGGAGUCUUUACGGGUGAUCAAGUAUGGCAUGUGGCUGACUAGCGACCUUCCAUUGCAAGUUGAAAGAGGCGUAGUUUUACAUCUGCAAGUGGUAGAGUAGCGUCAUAAUUUGUGGUAGGGGUUUGAUAUGCGCGGCCCUUU